AUAGACCGGACGUACGCUAACAAGUUUGUCUUUUGGUUCUUUACGUACCUAUGUAGAGUUACAUAUUUGUGUUUUUUUUUAAUCAUUGAUAAAAUUGUAGUCGAUAAAAAUGACAAACCAAUCUAAAUUAUUUUAAAAGUUUAAUAAUAUUUUUGGUUACGUUUUAGUUGGUAUUCAUAACUACAGCUAUGUCUAGAUUAAUUGAGUCAUUUUAAAAAGUAGUGAUUUUGUUCCAGUCAUCCAAAAAACCAUAACAUCAAUUUGAUAUUCCGUCGCUAUCAUUCGUUUCGUUUUUUCGUAGACCGUAAAAAUCAGUACCAUUUGCACCAUCUGGAUGGUUGACGCUCCAACGUGACCAACAGUAAAAAGUGAUGCCUCGUGAUCUCAACAAACACUUAAACUCACACAGAAUAUCCUGCAAACUGUAAGGAACAAAGACAAAUAAAUAACAUCAGUACUGUGCGAUGACAAACACAAGAAUGUUCGAGAAAAUUAAAUUCUUUGUAAAAUUUCCAGAAAGAACUCUUAGAGCAACGAAGAAAAAUAACUCAUUUUCUAUCGGGAGUGCGAUUCAAUUUAUACCUAACAAAUAAUACGUCAUACGAUCCGUCCGAGGCCGUCUACACUAUCGUGAUUGUUUCUACUCGCUCAACGCUGGCCAAUGUGAAGAGGGCCCAUUAAACUUUACAUUGACCAAAGAAAAAGUACAAUAUAGACUAUCUAAAUACGCAAACAAACCUACAUUUACCAUUUACCAGAGAAAUCUACCUCCAAAACUCUAUAAUACCGUUCCCACAAACUGCUCCAAUCAAUUCUAUAUUAUAAUUGCCCAUAAGUCCAUAAGUUUUAAGCCAGCUCAAAGUUUGAAUUCCAUAAAAUGACUUUGAAGGGCACCUCUCUGCUUGGUUUAUUUAUAAUAAUUUAAUAAUAUCAACAUAACUAUAACUACACAUUUUUCUUCUCAAUAAUAGAAAUUUAAUUAUUUAUACAUAGUACUUUCUAGUGUUUGAUUUUACGCGAGUAUUAUACAUUUAGAAAUUAAAGACUU